AGCUUUUAUCAGUUAUCAGCAAUUGUCUUUCAUUAGGGGAAAGAAUGAGGAAGGUACCAAAGAGUAGAAGACUUGUAAACUUUAGAGUUUUGAGUGCUUAAACUUACUUUUUCAUUUUACUUCAUCCUCUAAGGAGUGUGGUCACUUGGCAUGACUACUUCACUUUUAAGUGAAAGAACAGUGAAUAGGCAAC
rnacentral:other from 1 species